rnacentral:lncRNA from 1 species
CCUGGACAUUUUUGUGAAUAGGCAUUCCUGGUUCUUGGGCCUUUGGACAUGGACAUGGACUUAUCCCAUUGGCGGCCCUGAAUCUCAGGCCUUUGGGUUUGGACUAAAAUGAUAGCACUGGCUUACCUGGACCUCUAGUUUGUAGAAAGCAGAUAGCCUUCU